rnacentral:rRNA from 4 species
AAAUUGAAGAGUUUGAUCAUGGCUCAGAUUGAACGCUGGCGGCAGGCCUAACACAUGCAAGUCGAACGGUAACAGGAAGCAGCUUGCUGCUUUGCUGACGAGUGGCGGACGGGUGAGUAAUGUCUGGGAAACUGCCUGAUGGAGGGGGAUAACUACUGGAAACGGUGGCUAAUACCGCAUAACGUCGCAAGACCAAAGAGGGGGACCUUCGGGCCUCUUGCCAUCAGAUGUGCCCAGAUGGGAUUAGCUUGUUGGUGAGGUAACGGCUCACCAAGGCGACGAUCCCUAGCUGGUCUGAGAGGAUGACCAG